rnacentral:lncRNA from 1 species
CAUAGUUCUUCAUUAAUGAGACUUGUAGUCAAUAAUAGAUUGAAAAUAUCAUUCUCCUUGUGUAGUUAAAAAAAAUCUCCUCUGGUAAUACCGAAACAACUAAUUUUUCUUAUUUUGUUUGUUCCUCUUUAUUAUUAAAUACUAUCUGAAUUAACUCUUUAGUAGUUGGCCUGGUUGAAGCUCUGUGAGGAGCAAAGCAGCCCUCUCCAGGUGAACUGCUUGACUUUACCACCUGAAGGAGUAUUUACUGCAAGAAUUAACAAAGCAGGUGUUCCUAAUCCAAGCAGAACCCCGUUAUUUGAAGAGCCUGAGAAAUCUUAUCCCGUUUACAAAUGUCCUGGGAGUGCAUCCAAAGUGAAACUUGGGCAUCCUCAAUACUAAGAAAUCUCUGAGAAUGACUGAGUCUUGGUUCUUUGAUCUUACCUCUACUCCUCUGAAAAACAUGAUUAUCUAAAAUUGUGUUAGGUGGAUGAACCGCAUCAAAGACUUCCAGAAGCCACUCCAGUGACCAUAAGAUAAAUGUCAGAAUCGCAUAACCCCCGGGAUCAGGCAAGUGUUAUCCUCUCUUAAAACUCUUUGUUUACAACCAUGAUCUCCUUUUGGGAAUCAUUACAUUUGACUUGCUGCUUAUUUUUGUUGGAUGUUACCAGUGCUUGGUGAUAAAACUUGAUGUGGCUCUUUGCUUUGAAAAAGAAAAAAACUUUUUAUUUAAAGAAACAGUUGUAUACACUGCAUAAAAAUUGGGAAACUAUUAUGAAGAAAAAGAAGAUAUAAUAAAGGAAACAAAAAUUUACAGAUGACCCCAAAUCUCUUUUAAUAUUUGGCAAGUUUCAAGCAUGAAUUUUUUGUUUUGUUUUGUUUUUGUUUUAUAGAGACAGCACCUUGCUAUGUUGCCCAGGCUAGUCUUUUUUUUUUUUUUUUUUGAGACGGAGCCUCGCUCUGUUGCCCAGGCUGGAGUGCAGUGGCGCGAUCUUCGCUCACUGCAAGCUCUGCCUCCC